rnacentral:rRNA from 1 species
UACGUAGGGGGCAAGCGUUAUCCGGAUUUACUGGGUGUAAAGGGAGCGUAGACGGCCAGACAAGUCUGAAGUGAAAAUCCAGCGCUUAACGUUGGAAGUGCUUUGGAAACCGCCGGGCUAGAGUGCAGGAGGGGCAGGCGGAAUUCCUAGUGUAGCGGUGAAAUGCGUAGAUAUUAGGAGGAACACCAGUGGCGAAGGCGGCCUGCUGGACUGCAACUGACGUUGAGGCUCGAAGGCGUGGGGAGCAAACAGG